AAGACCUUGCGCUUUUGGAGCGGCCGAUGCCUGAUUAGCUUGUUGGUAAGGUAAAAGCUUACCAAGGCUUCGAUCAGUAGCUGGUCUGAGAGGACGACCAGCCACACUGGGACUGAGACACGGCCCAGACUCCUACGGGAGGCAGCAGUGGGGAAUUUUGGACAAUGGGGGCAACCCUGAUCCAGCCAUGCCGCGUGAGUGAAGAAGGCCUUCGGGUUGUAAAGCUCUUUCAGCCGGAACGAAACGGCUACGGUUAACACCCGUGACUACUGACGGUACCGGAAGAAGAAGCACCGGCUAACUACGUGCCAGCAGCCGCGGUAAUACGUAGGGUGCGAGCGUUAAUCGGAAUUACUGGGCGUAAAGCGUGCGCAGGUGGUUUUGUAAGUCAGAUGUGAAAGCCCCGGGCUCAACCUGGGAACU
rnacentral:rRNA from 1 species